UCUGACUACAUCGAGCCCCGCGUACACGUCCCAUCUCCUCUUCCUACCAAGCACGUCUCUCUUCUCGGCUCCUCCGAUCUCUCGUCGUUUCCUCAUUUCUUCCUCCCGUCCAAAUCAACCGGCGAAAAUCUGGCAGGGCUGCUCGGCGGUGAAGCCUCACCGGAUGCAGCGAUGAGACGUGGGUCGCAUCGGGGCUCAAUCGGUAGCGGGAGAAGGGGAUAGCUAGGCUCUCUCUUAUCUCCCUCUAGCCCUUUUGUCUCCCGGAUGAGGCGCGGCUAUGCGGAACCGAGGAGGAGAGCGUGUGAGCCCAGGAGAAGGCCUGCUAGCUGUUGCCGUCGUCACAGUCCUGAGGUCGACACAUCUCGCCUCUACGCAGCCCCGAUGAGGCUACCUCUGGCGGCGAGGUUAUCCCCGCAUUUCCGCCUACAGCUCGUCGCAGCCCCGACACUGGUGUAGUCCCGCCUAGAUCCGCCGUCUUUGACCUGGACGGCGCGAUCUGGAGGAGUAGAGCGUGUGGUUGAGGCAGUAUCAGCCAUUUGCAUGGAGGGAGAGAGAGGACGCUGCCGCCCCAGCUGUGAGGAGUAAGUAUCCACAAAAGAAGCCAAGGAUAAAGGUGGAGUUCUUUGUCGCUGCGCCGGGUCGGAAACGGAUGAAGGAUGAGGAACAGCUGAAAAGGAUUGGUACAUGGGUUGCUUUUUCACAAGACUAUUCGUCAUCUCAUAUACACUUCAAGUAGAUGUGUCCCAUGUGAACAACGCACAACCAAGGUGGUCUGGACAUUGCCGGCUCGCCGGAGGAUGCCUCAGCCGCCGAAGCAAUCCGUCAGAGUGGACGCUCUGAUGAGCCACCUUCCCGACCCAACCGGUCUUGGAGCUGGGAAUCUUGGUGCACUCGUUGAUCAUUGGGGUGUCCCUGGGCGCAUCGCUUAGGCAGACGACCAUCUUGUGGUCGCCCUCAGAUUCCUUCAUGGGCAUUGGCCUUGGAGGUUGCAUUGUUCAGGUAUAAUAACACAAAUUCACUUGCAGCUAUGAUCAACAACCUGCUGGUGACUUUUCUUGGCCUACAUUGACGAUGUUGUAGUUUUUGUCAGCUUUCCAGAAGAAACCAAUGGACACGUAGUAGUUGUAGCUAGAAGUAGGACUCCGUAAGUUCAUAAUAUGGUUUUGGUAAUGACUUUCUUUUUUAUAUCAAAAUCUGCUGCUGCUCCAACAUGCGAUAUACAUCUUUGUUUGACUGCUUAGGGAAAUUUGAUAGGAUUUUACAUGUAUGUAUGCCAUAGAUUGCCGUGGGUUGCUUGUAUGAAUUUAACAUGUAUGUAUGUGGUUGUAACAGCAAUGAGUUGAUUAGAUUUCUUUCAUGUGCUUCUUUUAUUUCUCAGAGUUCCUUCAUCUCCAUAUUUACAAGAUGCCGUUGAUGGAUUGAGUUUGUGGUGAGCCCAGUUUGUGUUUUAAAUAGGUGGAGAAUUUUUCUGCGAACUCUGCCUCCACAGACUUCUACCUUCAGUUACAAUCUUAGCAUUUCCAAGCCAAUUGGAUACCUCAUUCCUUUGUCAAUAUCCAAUGGCGGGGGACUUUUAGUAGUGUGAUACAGGAAAAACUGGUGCUGGCCCGAUCAUUAGAUCUGGAUCACUCUUAUAAGUUCCAUACUAUGCCUGGAUGGCCUAUUUGGAAUAAGUAUGCUGAACCAUGUGAGGCUCAGGACAAAAUCAUCUUUUGGGAACAUAGGAAUCAUGGAUAAUAAAGAUAGUUGCAGUCUUGCUACACUUUUCUGUUUUGUUUUGGUAAAAAGACUACCAAAUACUAACUAGAGAUAUUGUGCUUAUGUUUAUCUUGCAGGCUGCACCUAGCUCUUCUGUUUCAAUUGCGGGUCAGGGCAGCAGGUGCCGUUGAGAGGAAGGUAAAUAUGCAAAAAGGGGAGAUGAGAUGGCAAAGGUUGCACCGAGUACAACUUGGAGGAGGGAGGGAGGAGCUCUAUCAGUCUAUUAUUGUUCUGAUUUCCACCUUCUAGAAUGGUAUUUUAGCCAUAGAAAUGCUAAUGUCAAACUUGUUUUCUUAUAAUGUCAAACUAUGUAUAGUAUCAAGUUUUAACGUGUUCAGUGUGUGCUUGAUACCAAUUCUCUGAUUAUGGUUAGUUGUGCACAACUUGCACAUAAGCAGUAUCAUGCAACAUUUCACUCUAUACAAUUUUGAUCUGAAUCAGCUAUACCAACCUUGCUUACU